CGUUGGAUUAUAGGGAGGGGAUAAAAUUGGAAAAUUAAAUAGAGAAGAUGAAUUCUACGCAUCACGUUUUGGCCAUAAAUCGUAGGAUUCAAAUAAAGGCUAUUUUUUUUUUUAAUUGGAUAUCUGAUUUGGGUCAUUCUCCACAAUUUCUCUAAAAACAAACAUACAAAAUUUCAACAAAAGACUUUAUUUGAGGCCCAGCAGCGGCCCACAGUCAGCAAUCCAGUGGCGGGAGGUCAAAGACGGCGAGAAAUCCACUGACGGAGUACCUGAUCAAGGCUCCACCCGCCGGAACCUUCGUCUUUGUCACUUUUCCACAUCUGGAAGCUCAUCCUCUAUCCUUCGCUCCUUUCGCGGUUCAAUUCAACGUAAAAUAUGCGGAGAGUGGAUGCAGAGACAAGCGGGGGACGAAAGAUGUUUGAAGAAAUGGGCGUAUUAUUGGCUCAGAAGCUGGAAGUUUGUCGUAGCUUGGUUCACUUUCGGCAUGUGGCCAGCACACGCUGGUUGUUGCUUGUAUCAGAAGAUUACGAACCAUUUCAGUUCUGUUGGGCAUAAAGGGCAGACGAAAUUUGCACAAAGGGGGAGGGACAAAUAAUUGGAAAGAAAGAAAGUUUAUUAGAAAAGUAGAAAGAUAGACAUUUUUAGAGGAAAGUCUCUCACACUCUCUAGUCCUUAAUAUCAUAUAUAAUUCCUUGAAAAUCUAUUGAAUUCUCCAAUACCUUGUGUUAGAACUUAGGACAUGUUUUACAGUCUUUCUUUAUUUGCUCUGUUUUUACUAAUUUCAGCUAUUUAAGAUUUAUUUUUCUGUUAUUCUCCGUCAAAGUAUUAUUGAGAUACAAGGCUUAAUAUCCUCUCUUAAAUGUUGAACAAAUUGGCACAAAAGGAAAAGAGAGAUAAUCACUUGGGAAAGAGGAACUUUUAUUAAGCAAGUACAAAUAGGGACAUCAAAAACCUUUUCACUCUCUCAAUACUCACUCGCUCACUUUCCCAUUAUUUCUAAGUUUCUCUAACUUUCUUUAACAUCCUAUAGUCCGACUUAUAAAUGGAGACACAACUCCUUUUUAUAGGGUAUGAGAUCCGUAGGGUCCAAGUAAAAGGAUUUUUCUAGAUCCUUUUUAGAUUCUAAAAUAUCCUAGUCUAGAUAUUUCUAAGAAACUUAUCCUUAUUUAAAGGAAUUCAUAGAAUUCCAUGGAUCCUAAAGAAAUGCUAAGAUUUUUCUAGAGCCUUUGUUUGAGGUACUUAUUUACACACUUCAACGUAGUUAUAGAAAAAUCUAAUUUGUAUCUGUGUCAUCUUUUAGAUACUCCAAGAAGCUUUCAGAUUGUUGGUGUUGCCUUUUAGUGUAACAUUAAAUAUCAACGAUGGCAACAAUGCUCUGUUGAGAGCUCCUUUUUCAUCUUCCUUUCCUCCAUUAUCUUGCCUCCACUAUUCAUUACAAUUUCACUUUGAAGUCCAAAGAAAGGUCAACUAAUUGUUUAAGUAAUCCAGUCGGUUUCAGGCUAUGCAUAUAGAAGUUGGACGAAACUUGCUGAAGUAGAACGAAUGCAAAUCAGCUCCAUGAUUACUGCAAAUCUGAGCUAAUUCUUGCACUGCCGAGUUUUAAGUGCAUUUGUAGACCAAAUUAUGAUAAGGAAAGGCAUUGAAGGUCUCUCACGAGUGGCUAGAUAGCAUGAUUACUUCUUGAUCCUAAUUCAAAUGUCGAAGUUGUCCCUCAAUUUCCAGGCAGCUAUAGGAGGAUGAAACGCCAAAUUUGAGUCCUAAUCUGUUUGCCUAUCUAUGUAAACUGGAUCAUGGAGCUCUCUCAGUAAAACUUUGCCCGCUUCACUAUUUCAGUUACACUGUGUGAAAGGAUGUUUAGGGAGAUGUCCUUUCAAUAUGAAGUUUUUAUGUUUUGAGAUGUUUAAGUUUUUGCUUCCUAUAUAAAUUAAUUUGGCCCGAUAAAUAAUAGGUUGAUGCUCUAUUAUUAUAUCAAAGAAUUAAAUGUUGUUGCCUGGCACGUGAUAUAUUUUUAUUUUUAUGCUGUCGAUGAUAUCAUCCUUCACCAGUGUUCAAGGAAUUAUGUAAAUUAUUUACCAGUCAAGAUUUAUACUUGUCAUUGUCCCAGAGUUCUGGCAUGCAGGAAGGAGUAAUCUGUAAUCUCAGUUUAAGGUGUAAAAAUAAAAGGUUAAAUCGGUUGAUGUCGGAAGAAUUUAUUGGAGCCAAGCAUCCAAUAUCUCCCUCUCCUCCCUCUCCAACCCCAUCUCCACACCGCUAUUUUUAUCUGAAUCAAGGUACACUGAGUUUAAAAGUGAAGAGCAACUCCUUAAAAGGCAAGAAAGAAACCCAUCACAAGGCUUAUUUUGAAGGCAAACCCCAAGAAAUUAUUGCCACUUUCGUCGUACUUUUAUAUAGAUGGAAACAGUAAAUUGGAUUGAAAUUUCCAGGCAACCCGGAAUGGACUGGCCUUCAUAAUGGUACCCUAAACCUACAUACUCGCUAAAUCUUAAACGACUAGGAUUGGAAGCAAUCUAAAAAUAUGUUUUGAAUGAUUCAAAGUCAAUUUAAGAGAGUAAAAUUAAACAGACACAAUUUCUACCAUUCAAAAUUACUUGAAACAAAGAAUGAUCUAAGGAUUCAUGUUUUCAGUUCCAUGUUUGCCUACUACACGCAGUGUCCAAUUCUCUACAAAUUGCUGAAUCACUGCAGAAAUCAUAUAUAUGUGAACAGAACCAAUAGCCUACCUGUGAAGGAACACACUUGAAUCUUUCAACAACCAAACUUGCAGAAUAACAAAUUAUACGAGCAUAUGUAACUGAUAUUCUUCAUGUUCCAUUAUCCAGAUGACACAAUUAAGAACCAAAAAGGAAAAGCAAUCUUAAUUGACGAUAUAAUGGCCUAAACAUUCUAUAGCUAUGAAUUGAUUUAGGCCUUCAUAAACCCACCCCACAAACUUGCCAGAGAC